AGGUCAUCUCUUGCUUUUUCGAGACAUUUGGACCUCUCACAUUCAAGACUCUUGGGUCAGAGAUGUGGUGUCCAACGGUUACCGGAUCGAAUUUGCAUCCCUUCCGAGGGAUCGCUUUUUCGCUCCCGGGCUCCCCGGUUUCUAUUCAAAUAUUUUUGUGGUCCCCAAGAAGGACGGUUCUGUGCUCCCAAUUUUGGACCUCAAGCGUCUCAACCAUCAUCUUCUCAUCCGCCACAUCCGAAUGGAAUCUCUCUGUUCGGUGGUGGCGUCCCUGGAACAAGGGGAGUUCCUUUAAUCGGUGGACAUCAAAGAUGCCUACAUCCAUGUGCCAAUAUUUCCGGGCCAUCAUCGGUACCUCCGCUUUGCGGUCCCGGAGGGGCACUUUCAAUUUGUAGCCCUCCCCUUCGGUCUAGCCACGGCUCCUCGGGUCUUUACAAAGGUCCUUGCGCCGGUGAUGGGCCUGUUACGGUCGAGGGGAAUCUCGGUGAUACCCUAUCUGGACAACCUUCUCAUCAAGGCUCCAACCAGAGCCCAGACUCUGGAGAAUCUGGACGUCACUCUCCACACUCUGACUCUCUUCGGGUGGAUGGUCAACCAGGACAAGUCAGUCCUCCGUCCUACCCAGUCUCUAACCUUCCUGGGACUUCACUUCGACACGGCCUCUGCCCGAAUUCGUCUUCUGCCGGACAAACGUCUGGCGCUCCGGUCGGGGGUCCGCUCCCUUCGGACCCAGGUAUCAGUCUCCAUCCACACUUGUAUGGAAGUCCUGGGUCGGAUGGUGGCAACUAUGGAGGCCGUACCUUUUGCCCAGUUUCAUUACCGCCCCCUUCAACUGGCGAUUCUCUCCCGAUGGAACAGGUCUCCUCUGUCCCUCGAUCAUCAGAUUGUUCUCCCUCGCAGGGUCCAUCAGUCUCUGCUCUGGUGGCUCCGCUCCCCCCUUCUUCUCCUAGGGCGGUCGUUUCUUCCCCUUCACUGGCAGGUUGUUACAACGGAUGCCAGCCUGUCGGGUUGGGGCGGCGUGUUCAGGGAUUGGACGAUUCAGGGACUCUGGUCUCCCCAGGAGACCCUUCUUCCGAUAAACAUAUUGGAAUUACGGGCGAUUCUUCUUUGUCUUCUUCAUUGGGAGUCCCAUCUUCAGUCCCGUCCUGUCCGCGUUCUGUUGGACAAUGCCACGGCCGUGGCGUACAUAAAUUGUCGCAGCUCGGCAGCCAUGGCCGAGGUGACAAAGAUUCUCUCCUGGGCGGAGAGCAAGGUUCCGACCAUUUCGGAGAUUCACAUCCCGGGGGUGCUCAACUGGGAAGCGGACUUCCUCAGUCGGUCCUCACCCGACCCCGGCGAGUGGUCUCUACAUCCAGAGGUCUUCACGCAACUCUGCGACCUCUGGGGCAUUCCGGACGUGGACCUCUUCGUGUCCCGGCACAAUCAGAAGAUCCUUCCGUUUGUGUCCAAGUCCUGGGACCCUCAGGCUCUGGCCGUGGACGCCCUAGUGAUUCCUUGGGCGGGGUUUGCCCUACCCUAUCUGUUCCCUCCUCUUCCGCUCCUUCCCAGGGUGCUGAGGAAGCUCAAGGCAGAGGACGUUCCCACCAUUCUGGUAGCUCGGGAUUGGCCCCGAAGAUCGUGGUACGCCGACGUAGUCAGGCUCCUGGACGACACUCCACUGUGCCUUCCUCUCCGUUCGGACCUGCUCUCUCAGGGUCCUCUUUGCCACCCCAAUUUACAGUCGCUGCAUUUGACGGCGUGGCGGUUGAGACAGCGGAUUUGAGGGCCCACGGGUUCUCUUUAAAGUCAUUCGCACCAUGCUCAAAGCUCGUAAGCCCUCCUCCGCAAGGAUCUACCACCGUACUUGGAGGUCUUAUUUUCGUUGGUGUGAAGCACAGGACUUCUCCCCGAUGACCUUCUCUGUUCCCUGUCUUCUCUCCUUUUUGCAGUCGGGGUUGGAACUGGGGUUGUCUCUCAGUUCCCUUAAGGGUCAGGUUUCAGCCCUUACUGUUCUUCUCCAGCGGCCCCUGGCUUCUAAUCCUCAUGUCCGGACCUUCCUUCAAGGAGUGGCACACGCUGUUCCUCCUUAAUUUGGUUCUGAGUGCCCUCCAGGGUGCACCCUUUGAGCCCCUUAGAGAGGUGUCUCUCCGCCUCCUUUCUUGGAAAGUGGCGUUUCUGGUGGCUAUCACCUCCAUCCAGAGGGUGUCUGAAUUGGCAGCCCUUUCCUGACGUUCUCCAUUUCUGGUGAUCCACCAGGACAAGGUUGUUUUCUGGCCAGACCCUUCCUUUUUACCUAAGGUGGUCUCUGCCUUUCAUCUCAAUGAGGAUAUUGUCCUCCCGUCAGUUUGCCCGGCUCCUUCUCAUCCUAAGGAGCACUUACUGCACAGGCUGGACGUGGUUCGGGCUGUUCGGUCUUAUCUCUCCAUCACUUCUUAGUUUCGUCAGUGUGAUUCCUUUUUCGUCCUUACGGAAGGUCAUCGCAAGGGACAACCUGCUUCCAAGGCCACCAUUUCUAGGUGGAUUCAGUCCGCCAUUUCAGAAGCCUAUCGCUGUAAGAGGAAGAUUCCUCCUUUCAGGGUUGUGGCUCAUUCCACACGUUCUGUUGGGGCAUCCUGGGCUCUCCAGAAUAGAGCAUCGGCCUCGCAGAUUUGCAAGGCGGCUACCUGGUCGUCUUUGCACACUUUCUCGAGGUUUUACCGGGUUCAUACUUUCGCAUCGGCUGAUGCUAACCUGGGGCGUAAAGUGUUGCAGACGGCAGUGGAUCGGCUGUCUGCCUGAUUACUUAUCUGCCCACCCAAGGGACGGCUUUGGUACGUCCCACUGUCUGUGUUCCCCGACGGAGCCGAUAGAGAUAAGGAGAUUUUUUAACACUUACCGUAAAAUCUCUUUCUCGAAGGAUCCAUACGGGGACAUUGCUCCCGCCCUUUUUUGGGUUUUUCCUUGGUUCUCUGUCUGGGGGUGUGUUCAGUUUUGUUUUUUCUUCUGGUUCUCGGAAAAUUUUGGGUUUUUCCUUGACCUAUUGGUCUCCUCCUAUUGCUCUGGAACUUAAACUGACUAGCUCAGAGCCUGAAGGCGGGUGUAUCCUGCCGGGAGGAGCUGACUUUUUUUUUAUCACCAUAGUGUCACACCUCCUGGAGAUGGCAAGAUACACCCACUGUCUGUGUUCCCCAAUGGAUCCUUCGAGAAAGAGAUUUUACGCUUCUUUUAAUCUAUCUCAGCAUCUGUCUAAAGGAGAAGACUGCUCUUUGUAGAAGAUAUAGAGGUCCUAUUUUAUCUGGAAAUGGGAAAGGAAAAUAGUUUAUAAAAGAACCAAUAAUAACCCUAAACAUUGCUGUCAAUAAUUUGAACGGUGUCCUUCUGUAACUUGCAUGGUAUACAUUGAAAUAUUAGAAAACCGCUAAACAUAUGAAGGUUUUUACAAUGUGUGGCUAACACAACUCCAUAUUAAUAUCCAUCAGUAACAAGAGUACCUAUAUAGAUAUAUACUUGCCUUUGUUUUAUCUAUGGAUACUGGAUCAUGUAUAUUGCUAUAUUAUUUACCCACAGAGAGAUGCUCAGGUUAAUAUAAGAAAGCCAUUUUUAAAAGUAGUUCUGGUAUUGUCAGAGUACUCCAAGUUAAAGCAACAGGUCUAGGGAGAGAGUCAUUUUAUUUUCACAAUUGAAGUAAAUCUAAUGCCAGAGGUGGCUCACCUUUGAACACUAUUUUAUAAGAUAACUUUGCAGCCGCUUUGUAAGGCAUGCCGUAAUUCAAAAUGGGUACAAGGUACAUAAAGCAAUCCUUUUUGUCUAUAUCCAGAGUUAACAUCCCCUAGGAUCAUUUCUGGUAAAGUAUACAGAUUAUUCUGUAAUUGAAAGGAGUCUCCGGAAAUGUAUUGGUGGCAUGACGCCAGUGUCUGAUGUGAAGGGUCCAACCACUCUGCAUCUUACUAAAAGCUAAAACAAAGUUGAGUAAAGUUCUGUGUCAUGUUAUCUACUGAUGGUGUCACAUCAUUUUGACCCUUUUAAUUAACCAUUGAUGUUAUAUCUUGGUGAUAUGCCACCAUUGUAUAUCCCAAGACAACACCUUUAAUCAGAACACAUAAUAGUUCAUCUAAGCUAUUAAGCAUUGGUGUCUGGCAUUUUGCUUUUGACUGGUGCAAACCAGUAGAAUUCUAAUGUCAUGCAGUCUGUAGCUCAAGAUUUGUAUAGCAAACAUAGUAUAUGCAAAGUUGUCAAUAUAUUAUAUCAAGUAAAUGGUGUCCAUAAACCCAUGCCUUAACCUUGGAUUAAAGCGCUGCUGUCAUGGAUGGAGGUACUUUAAACAAGGAAAUCUAUAAGACGCACAUAAAGUGGAUGUUAUAGGGGUUAUUUAGGAUUAGAAAUACAGCUUAUUUCUUCAAUAAAGGCACCAGCCCUGUCCUUAGGUUUUUGUGUGGUAUCGCAGCUUAGUUACAUUGGAGUGAAUUGAGCCAAAUUGUGACACCAUCCACAAACUGAGGACAGGUGUGGUGCUGUUUUUGGGAAAAAAGCAGUUUUUCUAUUCCUGAAUAACUCCUUUUAACAACUACCGAGAUAUAGCUCCUAGAACUGACAUGUUUGUCAGCUCUUAGCCAAUGAAAACUGUUAAGUUACUUAUUGAUUUAAAAGCAAGGUGUAAAAAAUUUAGCUUGGCACAAUGUACACUCUUUCAUCUCUUGUUUUGGAGGAUGCACGGGGGGGGGGGGGGGGGGGGUGCUAUUAGUAUGCCUUGUUUAAUCUAGGGGUGCACCGAAAUGAAACUUUUAUGGCAAAAAUUCAGGAUGUGCUUGACUGAAAACUGAAAAGGACUUUUUAUAGUUUUUGUAAAAUUGUAUUAGCUGACCCAAAACUACAACUCCCAGCAUGCCCUGACAUAGCCUAGGGCUCUGCAGCUCACCCACAACUAGUAAACUACAACAACCAGCAUGCUCUAACACAUCCUAGGGCUUUGCAGCUGACCCAAAACAAAACUACAAUGUGCAACAUAUAGAGCUAUAUAGCACUGUGCUAGCAGUUGUCAUUGCCUGCACUGGCUAUCCUUGGUACAAAAAGGGGGCACUCUGGCUGUCACUGGUACACAUGGGGGGACUGGCUGUAUGUUAAAUAACCGCUCUCUUAUCAGCUACUCCCAUCUUCUGUACUACAACUCCCAUGCACUAAGGCUACACCCCCAUAGUCAGUCAGUGAGCCCCAUGUUAUCAGGGAACACUGGGGCCUGUACCUGGACAAGCUCCUCCUCUUGGGUAUGAGGCCAGAGCCCUGGGAGAGGCUUCUUUUUUGUCCUGUGGGGGAAUCCUUGUCCGCAGAGCAGCUGGUGGAGGCAAGCAGGGAAUUCGUCCCCUCCAUUAUCCUCCUCAUGAUAUCUGGUGCCUGGGUUGCUCUCUAAUCCACCAUCAUACCGUAUAGCGUCCCUGACAUCACUUUAGGCACAUAUUUUCCUUUCGGCAAAAUGCCAAAAGCACUACUAUAUUUUAUCAUUUAUAAUCUUUGGUUGCCGAAAUUUAGGUGCAUCCUUAGUUUAAUCCUUCAUAAAGCUCUUUAAAAAGGCUUAAUGUGCCCCUGUCUCACAACAGCAGCAAUGUCCUUGUGAGCACAUAGGGUGAUAAAACCUUGUGUAAAGGAACAAUGGAGAAGUCUCGCACUGCCCCAAUAUUCUUCUGUACAAGGUUUGAUAAAUCUCCCCCGCAGUUUAUAAAUCUACAUUUUAUGGACAUUUGUGUUGCUAUGCACAUUGCACUGGUUCUUUAAGUACCAUAUUUGGCACAAAACGACUUUAUUUAUACAAGUGUGGCACAAUGAUCUAGAAAACUGUUGUUAAGUUUGUUCCCUUUUUAUUAAUCCAAAAGAUAAGUACUGCUCCUUGUUAUGUUUACAACAUCUACUACUAUGACUAUACGCUCCUUGUAUCAUUAGAUUCACUUAGAAUAGAUAAGGUAGCUUACAUUAUCUAGGACAGCUUGAAGUAGACUUAUAUCUUUUGGAAUAAACCUAAACACUGUGUUGUAAGGUUAUGUUUUAUUUUUUCACAAAUAUUUUUAGGUUAAGACACUUUGAUUCCAUUUGCAAUGCUUGCUUCUUAAAGGCACACUGGAAAAUGUUAACCAAAAAUACCUCAUAAGUGAGUGAAAGUAGCUUCCUAGGAGAGGAAUAUUAUGCAGGAAGGCUGAAACGUUUUUCCUCUCCUGCAAGUUUUCCCUAGGAAAAAAAUUUCAACAUGGAUACGGAGACGCUGUAUUUGAUCCAAGUCUAAACGCCAUUGGGCAUGAAGUCUUUUACUUUUGCUUAAUCAUAACCCACUUCCUAGGAUAGUUGCUCCAUGUACUUUAAAGCUUAUAAACAAUGUAUUAUUUUUCCUUCUUUGACCGGGCCUCUGAGGCUUCUCAAGUGUUUACUCCGCACCUUUUAUCAAGUCCUUCCUAAGUAAAGGCUGGAAACAUUUGGACCCCCUGCUGUUACUGAACUACUAUUCCUAGCAUCCAGUACUUCCAGUCAGCCCAAUAUGCUAAGAGUAAUAGUUACAUAUAAAAUGGAGAAGAAGGUGUCUAAGCCUGCUCUGUAUGACAAUGUGUGAAUGGUAAUACACUGUAUACAUAUUUACUUUUGGAUCAACACUAUCUCACUUUCUGUACAUUUUCAGUAAAAUAAAAAUCAAUUACAUUUG